GCUUUCAGGGGAUAGAACUAGAUAAACCUGAACGUGUAUCUUCGGAAUGAGAGGUAGAAGGUCUGGAUGGGGUCAACUUCGAAAGAGGCCAAUAAGAUGGAACGGGCUCGGCAGUCGUUUGCCAAGUAUGUUUAUACACAUCGCUAUCACUGGAUUUGCCGCAAAGGAUUUGCCGACCUUGAUAUGUGAUAACAAAGUAGAACGUGUCCUCAUGUGUUGUUUACGGUAUAUCAUGGCGCGGUGUCUAAAACGAAUGAAUCUAAUCGAGUCCUUGUUUUUCGUUGCAUGGAAAUUGCAAAGCUCACUAGCAUGCACGAAGACUAUCUGAAUGAGGUAAGAGGCAUGCGAUCAUGAAACGGCUAUUUCUCUGCUGUUUCUGUUAUUGAGGCCCAAUAGGCGCUGUCAACUGACAAACGGUCUCAAUGUCUCUAUAUUUCCAGAUGGACCUGACCUGUAGCGGAGAUCCGUAGACCACAUUCAAACAAGCAGUGCCAACGACUGCCUGCGCUACCCAGCUGACAAGGUUGCAUGACCGUUUCAUCCAGAUUAUGGCGUCACUAAUGGUCAGCGAAUCCAUGGGGAAAUCCAAACUUCUAUCAGUGCUUUUCAACAUGUUCAUUUCAUAACGCGAUCGGUAGCAUCGGUUAGGCAAUCGGGAUACUCAGAAUACAAAGCUCGUUCGAGCGGUCCUCAGAAAUGUUCAACGGGCGAUAUCGUAGGUACAGAUGGGUGGCAUGUAGGGCAAGUGAUCUGCCUAAUGCAUGGUGCGUAGCCGUCACCGUUGUUAUCGGUUCGUCCCCAGAGCCAGCUCACAGCUGCGGCAGUCGAAUCAGCCCCAGCCAUGAAGUACAACUUACUACAGCUAUGUGGGCUUCGGGCGAGUUCGGCUGCACCAAGGAAGUUCCUCACUCCUGUUAGUCGCCAUUUUGUUAAAGGCAAACCUGGACUUCUCUCGCAUUGUCAGAUGCACUCAAACGAGGUGCGCAGGGAUUAGCAGUUGAUUGUAGCGUAUAUUUGUGUACGGACUAGUCCAAGAAGAUAGAAGAUUCGAUUACCAUGAACCUAAUAUAUGUGGCCAUCGUUUGAUUCCAAAUGUUGGCAAUCGUGGCGAUUAUCAGAGACCACAAAUGAUACCUCAAUAAAUCGUUCCAAAGGAAUUCCCAAUUAGAUGAAACGUUAUACCGUCUUGGUUUUCAACGGAAUGCCUUCGUAUUUAUGUAUCAAUUUUUUAGAACUUCUCAAUUAACUACAAAUGGCUAACUACCAUUCUAUGAGGUUGAUUUUAGAAGUUGUGCGUGUCCCGAAACGCCGCAGAAAUCCAAGGCGAGCUGUCUCUUGUCAAGUUUCUUGCGCUUUAGUAGGAAUCACUUAGGGCGUUAAGACGCCGGUGGCGAACAGGAAAGGAACCAGAAAGCGAGAGGAAACAUUCCUAGAUACCAUAUCAUAUUAAUAUAUGGAAAAAAAAAGCAGUAUAUAUUGAAAAAUAUCAAUUAUUGUCAAUGCAUUAUGUGAAUAGAAAAUCGAAGGUUAUAUAUUUAACGUUCUUUUUUGCAGUACUCUGUUAAACGAGUUGUCCGUGUUAAAGUUCAGACCAGUUCCUUAGAACAGAUGCUUUCUAAAAUCCAUGAGAUCGUCCUUCGAAAGACAAAUAUAUCUUUUUACAUGGACAACUUCCAGUAAAUGUUUAGUAUUAUUGUUUCUUAUUGUGUUCUCUUUUACAUACACGUUUCGCCUAAAUCAGAAAUCAAACAUUUCACCUUUAACUCACGGUAUAUAACCAUAAUUUAAAUAUUGUUUAAAAAAAAAAGAAGUCGAUUCUAACAGAAUUGUCCGAUUUCAGUGAGACGGACUCCGCCCUAAUUCCUGAAUUCCAUACAGACGACCGCGUCUGACUAUGACCAGCUUUCUAGAGAUACGGUUACAGCGCGACGGCAAGCAUACAGACAGCAUAUUCCAUAGACCACGAUACGAUCAUAAUGGCGCACGUGUCAUCCACUUCAGAGGAAAUUAAUGGGAGUUCUGAGAACAGCUUCCACUACACUUCUGCGAGGACACCACCGGUCUGGCGGUUCUUUAAUCGGACUAAGAACGCGCAUCGUGUCGACGGUCCUAAUACGGAUCCUCUCCCAGGACACAACCGGUCUGAAGUUCCAUCGUAGAAAACACCUGAUGAGUGCAAGGGCCAAUAGAUCACGAGAAUCCUUCUUUUGCGCAGAGCUAUAUGCGACGCUAAAUCAGG
rnacentral:lncRNA from 1 species